GAUGAACGCUGGCGGCGUGCCUAAUACAUGCAAGUCGAGCGAACAGACGAGGAGCUUGCUCCUCUGACGUUAGCGGCGGACGGGUGAGUAACACGUGGAUAACCUACCUAUAAGACUGGGAUAACUUCGGGAAACCGGAGCUAAUACCGGAUAAUAUAUUGAACCGCAUGGUUCAAUAGUGAAAGACGGUUUUGCUGUCACUUAUAGAUGGAUCCGCGCCGCAUUAGCUAGUUGGUAAGGUAACGGCUUACCAAGGCGACGAUGCGUAGCCGACCUGAGAGGUGGCCGGGCCACGAUGGAAUGGACACACGGGUCAGACACCCACGGGACGCAGGUGCAGGUAAUCGUUCGGUGUGGGCGGAAGCUGGAAGGAGCAAGCCGGUGAAAGUGAAGAGGGUUUUGGGUGUUUAAAACUCUGUUAUUAAGGAAGAAAAAAAGAAGAAGUAAAUGGACCUGGCUGGAAGAGGCCUAAUAAAAAAGCCACGGAAAAACACGC
rnacentral:rRNA from 1 species